UUAUAGGCUAUCCGGGGGUAUUUAAGGCCUAACUGGGGUUGUCGCUUCGCUCUUUCAUUCCAUUGGCCUCUCACCUAUUAGCAUCUGCAGUCACGUUCUUUGGCGUUGCAGCUACGCUGUGAAAGAGUAAUCAGCUCACUGAAACAUGUCGGCAACAUAUACAGAACCGAAGCUCGGGGCUCGACUGGAAAUCAGUGGUGGUAAGUGCGCCACAGUCGAGAUAUGGAGAGGCAGGUCCGAGACACACCAAAUAGUUUUCAAACUGUUGCAGAAGACAAAGCGAAAUGUUACUGUCUAUUCGAGGAUGCUAGACGAUAACAGCGUCUCCUUUGCGCUCUGCUUUGAACGGAGUAAUGCGAAGUAUUUUCCUGUCGUACAAAGGGCAAAGGACAAAUCAAAUAAGGAAGAGAUUCAAUUUCAGGUCCGGAAGAUAAGUGGCGAACCAUCCGAAAUUGUUUUCGACGACAUGUACCUUUUUAAGUGGGGAGGGGGGAAUGACGCCUGGGGAACUCUGGUCUCUGUGGCAGAACCCAGUAAAUACUUGAGUGUGUCUGGCAACCGGGUAGUCCUCAGUUCCAAACCACACAGUUGUUUCCGAAUAAUCCCACAGCAUGACUUCCCAAUAUUGUGAACUAGAUUAAUUUUUCAUCCAUGUAGAUGCUCUAUAGAUAAGGUUAACAUCCCAAUAUUUAGACAUUCUUGAAGUAAGCAGUUUUUCAUUGUUCAGAGUAUUAAGCUUCUCUGUAUUAUAUACCCAUUAUUUUAUAGGUAAAAAAAAUCAUACUCUGCAAAUGCAACUUUGCCCUAAUAACUAUUAUAUGGCCAUGCCAAUGUAUAAAAUAAAGUUAUGCAUGGCCACUGGAGCCAAACCAGACUAGAUGGGAUACUUUGCUUUAUUCAUUGACUUAAUCACUAAGAGCAGUAUGCAGCAAAAUAAUGCUUCUGAUGUCUUAGUUUGUUUAUCAUCAGCCACGGCAGGUGAAUCUCUGUGAAGGCACUUUUCAUAUUCCUACACUGCUGUUUUCUUUUAAUACAGUGUAACUCAUUAGUAGACUAGCCCUUAACCAAAUACUUUAUUUGUAUUACAUAGUAUACACUCAUUUUACUUUGUAUUACAUAUUUUGUCAAGCAACAGUUGUCUAACCUUGUCAAUACUGAUACCUUAUACAAUUUAAGUCAUAUAGCAAUAUUUUCUUUAUUAAUAUAAUCCAUAUGUACAUAUUCAAUUAUUUGUGCUAUUAAAUAGGUGACCUUGAGAAUGACAAUUUAAAGCCAGGAAGUAAAUCUCUGUAGUCUUCAUUGCCAGGACUGCUUCUGAUGUUUUCUGCUCUCAUAUAUUCAGUGCCCCAUAUUUGGUUCUUGAUGUAUUCAGGAUGUGACUAAGCCCAGCUGUGAUAGUGCCUGAGUUCAUAGCAAGUCCACCAACCACACCUACUAGGGAAAUGCUCUGUAGUGAACUUUCACUUGAGAAAAUACAGUGGCACUCUUCAUAUACAGCAGGAUAGUUGUAUAAUGGGCUCUGCAGUGUCUUUUAAAGUCUCUUGUACCAUUAGUGAAGAGACCUGUGCUACUAUGAGAGCUGUGUAAAACUGAACUACUGGAAAGACAAUUGGAAAAUAGAUUUAAAGAAAUAAUUUAAAAAUAUUCAGAAGUCCAUGAGUACUAAACCAGUUCACUUCAAUUUAUUGAAAUUCCCAGAAGAGGCUUAAUUUUCUCAAACUUUGAUAAAAAAUAAAAAAAAAUUCUAUGUACAAUUUAUGACAAGGUUUGGCAAACUGUGUGUUCUGUAAUUGCAGCAGGUUGUACAGUCUAAUUGACCUUUUGUUUGUCAAAGGUUGUGUUACUUCACUGAAUAAAUGUGUAGGCACUACUUGGAAUGAUGGGCUUGUCAUGGGUAUGGAAUGUAUGAAAAACUCCUGUGGUUCCUGACUUGCCAUUACUAACUUAAAAAAACUUAUGUUAGGGAAUGUAUUUUUAUUACAUAUAAGCAAGGCAAAGAGGGUACUCUAAGAUGCCUUUCUGCAUUCAUGUGUAUAGUGAAAUAAAGGUUAUUUUAAAUAUGGCAA